GAUGAACGCUGGCGGCGCGCCUAACACAUGCAAGUCGAACGGCACCUAUCUUCGGAUAGAAGCGAGUGGCGAACGGCUGAGUAACACGUGGAGAACCUGCCCCCUCCCCCGGGAUAGCCGCCCGAAAGGACGGGUAAUACCGGAUACCCCCGGGCGCCGCAUGGCGCCCGGGCUAAAGCCCCGACGGGAGGGGAUGGCUCCGCGGCCCAUCAGGUAGACGGCGGGGUGACGGCCCACCGUGCCGACAACGGGUAGCCGGCUUGAGAGACCGACCGGCCAGAUUGGGACUGAGACACGGCCCAGACUCCUACGGGAGGCAGCAGUGGGGAAUCUUGCGCAAUGGGGGGAACCCUGACGCAGCGACGCCGCGUGCGGGACGGAGGCCUUCGGGUCGUAAACCGCUUUCAGCAGGGAAGAGUCAAGACUGUACCUGCAGAAGAAGCCCCGGCUAACUACGUGCCAGCAGCCGCGGUAAUACGUAGGGGGCGAGCGUUAUCCGGAUUCAUUGGGCGUAAAGCGCGCGUAGGCGGCCCGGCAGGCCGGGGGUCGAAGCGGGGGGCUCAACCCCCCGAAGCCCCCGGAACCUCCGCGGCUUGGGUCCGGUAGGGGAGGGUGGAACACCCGGUGUAGCGGUGGAAUGCGCAGAUAUCGGGUGGAACACCGGUGGCGAAGGCGGCCCUCUGGGCCGAGACCGACGCUGAGGCGCGAAAGCUGGGGGAGCGAACAGGAUUAGAUACCCUGGUAGUCCCAGCCGUAAACGAUGGACGGUAGGUGUGGGGGGACGAUCCCCCCGCGCCGCAGCCAACGCAUUAAGCGUCCCGCCUGGGGAGUGCGGCCGCAAGGCUAAAAACUCAAAGGAAUUGACGGGGGCCCGCACAAGCAGCGGAGCAUGUGGCUUAAUUUGAAGCAACGCGAAGAACCUUACCAGGGCUUGACAUAUGGGUGAAGCGGGGGAGACCCCGUGGCCGAGAGGAGCCCAUACAGGUGGUGCAUGGCUGUCGUCAGCUCGUGUCGUGAGAUGUUGGGUUAAGUCCCGCAACGAGCGCAACCCCCGCCGCGUGUUGCCAUCGGGUGAUGCCGGGAACCCACGCGGGACCGCCGCCGUCAAGGCGGAGGAGGGGGGGGGGGACGUCAAGUCAUCAUGCCCCUUAUGCCCUGGGCUGCACACGUGCUACAAUGGCCGGUACAGAGGGAUGCCACCCCGCGAGGGGGAGCGGAUCCCGGAAAGCCGGCCCCAGUUCGGAUUGGGGGGUGCAACCCGCCCCCACGAAGUCGGAGUUGCUAGUAAUCGCGGAUCAGCAUGCCGCGGUGAAUGAAAUCCCGGGCCUUGCACA
rnacentral:rRNA from 1 species